rnacentral:rRNA from 1 species
GACGUAGGGCGCGAGCGUUGUCCGGAUUUAUUGGGCGUAAAGAGCUUGUAGGCGGUUUGUCGCGUCUGCUGUGAAAUCUCAAGGCUCAACCUUGAGCUUGCAGUGGGUACGGGCAGACUAGAGUGUGGUAGGGGGAGACUGGAAUUCCUGGUGUAGCGGUGAAAUGCGCAGAUAUCAGGAAGAACACCCCGUGGCGAAGGCGGUUCUCUGGGACGGUACUGACGCUGGAGACGCGAAAGCGUGGGGAGCGAACAGG